rnacentral:rRNA from 1 species
GUCUACAGCCAUGCCACCCUGAACGUGCUGGAUCUCAUCUGAUCUCAGAAGCUAAGCAGAGUCAGGCCUGGUUAGUACUUGGAUGGGAAACUAUCUAGGAAGACCAGGUGCUGUAGGCG